rnacentral:rRNA from 1 species
CUGAACGAUGGAGCUUGCUCAGGCGUCGAGCGGCGGACGGGUGAGUAAUGCAUAGGAAUCUGCCCGGUAGUGGGGGAUAACCUGGGGAAACCCAGGCUAAUACCGCAUACGUCCUACGGGAGAAAGCAGGGGAUCUUCGGACCUUGCGCUAUCGGAUGAGCCUAUGUCGGAUUAGCUUGUUGGUGAGGUAAUGGCUCACCAAGGCGACGAUCCGUAGCUGGUCUGAGAGGAUGAUCAGCCACAUCGGGACUGAGACACGGCCCGAACUCCUACGGGAGGCAGCAGUGGGGAAUAUUGGACAAUGGGCGAAAGCCUGAUCCAGCCAUGCCGCGUGUGUGAAGAAGGCUUUCGGGUUGUAAAGCACUUUCAGUGAGGAAGAAGGCCUUGGGGCUAAUACCCCCGAGGAAGGACAUCACUCACAGAAGAAGCACCGGCUAACUCCGUGCCAGCAGCCGCGGUAAUACGGAGGGUGCGAGCGUUAAUCGGAAUUACUGGGCGUAAAGCGCGCGUAGGCGGCGUGAUAAGCCGGUUGUGAAAGCCCCGGGCUCAACCUGGGAACGGCAUCCGGAACUGUCAGGCUAGAGUGCAGGAGAGGAAGGUAGAAUUCCCGGUGUAGCGGUGAAAUGCGUAGAGAUCGGGAGGAAUACCAGUGGCGAAGGCGGCCUUCUGGACUGACACUGACGCUGAGGUGCGAAAGCGUGGGUAGCAAACAGGAUUAGAUACCCUGGUAGUCCACGCCGUAAACGAUGUCGACUAGCCGUUGGGGUCCUUGAGACCUUUGUGGCGCAGUUAACGCGAUAAGUCGACCGCCUGGGGAGUACGGCCGCAAGGUUAAAACUCAAAUGAAUUGACGGGGGCCCGCACAAGCGGUGGAGCAUGUGGUUUAAUUCGAUGCAACGCGAAGAACCUUACCUACCCUUGACAUCGUGCGAACUUGGUAGAGAUACCUUGGUGCCUUCGGGAGCGCACAGACAGGUGCUGCAUGGCUUCGUCAGCUC